rnacentral:rRNA from 1 species
AGUGAACGCUGGCGGUAGGCCUAACACAUGCAAGUCGAACGGCAGCACAGUAAGAGCUUGCUCUUACGGGUGGCGAGUGGCGGACGGGUGAGGAAUACAUCGGAAUCUACUUUUUCGUGGGGGAUAACGUAGGGAAACUUACGCUAAUACCGCAUACGACCUACGGGUGAAAGCAGGGGAUCUUCGGACCUUGCGCGAUUGAAUGAGCCGAUGUCGGAUUAGCUAGUUGGCGGGGUAAAGGCCCACCAAGGCGACGAUCCGUAGCUGGUCUGAGAGGAUGAUCAGCGACACUGGAAGUGAGACACGGUCCAGACGCCUACGGGAGGCAGCAGUGGGGAAUAUUGGACAAUGGGCGCAAGCCUGAUCCAGCCAUACCGCGUGGGUGAAGAAGGCCUUCGGGUUGUAAAGCCCUUUUGUUGGGAAAGAAAAGCAGCAGGUUAAUACCCCGCUGUUCUGACGGUACCCAAAGAAUAAGCACCGGCUAACUUCGUG